UAGGAGCAAAGGUCUCGGUACCGAAGCUGAGAGCGGACUGUUCCAGGCCCCUCCGAGGCGUGUAGCGAGAGCAGCCUCGGUCCGGGACGUGCAGCCCGGGAUAGCCCCGGAGAGGCAGAGCCGACCUGGCUGCUCCGGCCUCCUUCAGCUCAGAGGAGCGGGAGCAUGGAGCAGUGAGGACAGUAGCCGCGCUUCAGGGCUCCAGACCCCAGCAUUGCAGGAAGCCAGACCCACUGUCUCCUUCUUACGAAGACCUCAUCACCCCACCCCGUCUAGGUCCGCGUUACACCCCACCCCCACCCCACCCCCGCCUGUACCUUGCUCCUCAAGGCCCAGCUGGUUGGAUCCUGAACCUUAAAUCCUACCAGGAGCGAACAAAGGCAACCCGUGGGUGGGGCCCGUGGGGCCCUGGCUGGAGGCCCCUGGGCUCACCUCCUGCUCUGCGCGGAUGGUGUGUUGCAUCACCUGCCCGCCUUGCCUUGGCCCACUUGCCUGGAGCUGGAACCAUCCACAGUUGGCUGGUUCAACUCGACAAUCAAGAAGAUGGCCAAUAGAGGCAAUUCCCCAACUGAGGCUCCCUCAACCCAGGAGCUGGAGGUGGGCUAGAGCCUCAGCAGUGGCCUAGAGGUGAACCCAACAGCCCAAUCAAGUCUUCAGAUACCACAGCCCCAGCCCAAGCUUGGCCACGCUUUCAUGGGAGACCCUACCAGAACUAUCCCAGUCUGCUAUGUGCUCACUCCCGGACACUGUGUGAGGUAGCAGAUGUGUGUUUCAAGCCACUGGGAUAUGAGGUCAUUUGUU